UGCAUAUCAAAAAGCGGAGGAAAAGAAACCAACAGGGAUUGCCUCAGUAACGGCGAGUGAAGCGGCAAAAGCUCAAAUUUUAAAGCUGGCAUCUUCGGUGUCCGCGUUGUAAUUUUGUGAGGCAUCUCCGGGUAGGGCGCCGGCCUAAGUUCCUUGGAACAGGACGUCACAGAGGGUGAGAAUCCCGUGCUUGGCUGGCUGUCCCCGUCCAUGUGAGGUGUCUUCGACGAGUCGAGUUGUUUGGGAAUGCAGCUCAAAAUGGGUGGUAAAUUUCAUCUAAAGCUAAAUAUUGGUGGGAGACCGAUAGCGCACAAGUAGAGUGAUCGAAAGAUGAAAAGCACUUUGAAAAUAGAGUUAAAAAGUACGUGAAAUUGUUGAAAGGGAAGCGCUUGAGACCAGACUUCGGUAGGGGGUGAUCAGCCGUGCUUCGGUGCGGUGCACUUGUUCCUCUCUGGGCCAGCAUCGGUUGAGGCGGCGGGAUAAAGGUCCCGGGAAUGUGGCUCCUUCACGGGAGUGUUAUAGCCCGGGUGAAUGCCGCCAGCUUCGACCGAGGACCGCGCCCGCAAGGGUUAGGAUGCUUGGCAUAAUGGUCUUCAGCGACCCGUCUUGAAACACGGACCA
rnacentral:rRNA from 1 species